UACGUAGGGUGCAAGCGUUAUCCGGAAUUAUUGGGCGUAAAGAGCUCGUAGGCGGUUUGUCGCGUCUGCUGUGAAACCCGAGGCUCAACCUCGGGCCUGCAGUGGGUACGGGCAGACUAGAGUGCGGUAGGGGAGAUUGGAAUUCCUGGUGUAGCGGUGGAAUGCGCAGAUAUCAGGAGGAACACCGGAUGGCGGAAGGCAGGUCGUCUGGGCAUUAACUGACGCUGAGGAGCGAAAGCAUGGGGAGCGAACAGG
rnacentral:rRNA from 1 species